UACGUAGGUGGCAAGCGUUGUCCGGAUUUACUGGGCGUAAAGAGCGCGCAGGCGGCCAUUCAAGUCGGGGGUGAAAGCCCAGGGCUCAACCCUGGAAUUGCCUUCGAUACUGUUUGGCUAGAGACCGGAAGAGGUUAGUGGAACUGCGAGUGUAGAGGUGAAAUUCGUAGAUAUUCGCAAGAACACCAGUGGCGAAGGCGGCUAACUGGUCCGGUUCUGACGCUGAGGCGCGAAAGCGUGGGGAGCAAACAGG
rnacentral:rRNA from 1 species